UACGGGGGGAGCAAGCGUUGUUCGGAUUUACUGGGCGUAAAGGGCGCGUAGGCGGCGUGACAAGUCACUUGUGAAAUCUCCGGGCUUAACUCGGAACGGUCAAGUGAUACUGUCGUGCUAGAGUACAGAAGGGGCAACUGGAAUUCUCGGUGUAGCGGUGAAAUGCGUAGAGAUCCGGAGGAACACCAGUGGCGAAGGCGACGUCCUGGGCUUGACCUGACGCUGAGACGCGACAGCACGGGGAGCGAACGGG
rnacentral:rRNA from 1 species